UACGUAGGGCGCAAGCGUUGUCCGGAAUUAUUGGGCGUAAAGAGCUCGCAGGCGGUUUGUCGCGUCUGCUGUGAAAACUCGAGGCUCAACCUCGGGCUUGCAGUGGGUACGGGCAGACUAGAGUGGCGGUAGGGGUGACUGGAAUUCCCAGUGUAGCGGUGAAAUGCGUAGAUAUUGGGAGGAACACCAGUGGCGAAGGCGGCUCACUGGACCGGAACUGACGCUGAGGCGGCGAAAGCGUGGGGAGCAAACGGG
rnacentral:rRNA from 1 species